rnacentral:lncRNA from 1 species
GCAAGUCUGGCUUUCAUGAUUUCACUCCGUGUAUGGGGCUUGUACAAGUGGCUACUGAACACCGGUCAAGACGAUUCACUUUUUAUCACAAGAUGGAAAACUUCCUUCAGUAUGGUUCUAUCUAGAGACGUUUGAAACUAUUGCUUUGCUGAAAACAUCUGACUGCCAGGCUAGGAUGUGACACUUAAGGGACUUACCAAUUUGGGAUUCUUCCAGGAGCUGAAAACUGAUUGCAAAUAUGAAACAGAUUUCACUACAGGACUUGAACCCUACAUUAAAAAACAACAAGCUCCCCAAAAUAAUUGAAAAAGAUCUUCACCAAAGAGUAGCUGCAAUGUGAAUGGCAGGAUAUGAAGCAAGUAAGAGAUGGUGAAAAGAUUAUCUUAAGCUUGGAAUUAAGUGAUGAAAGGGACCUUCGAAAUUAUCAACUCUAAAUACUUCUUUACAGGAAAAUUGAAAGCAGUUAAGAACCUGCCCCCUACCGUGGAGUUCUUGGUGCCGUGAGUUGGAGUUCUUGGUGCCUGGGUGCGUCCCCAAGGCCACUGGUCUUCAGAUCUUUCUUACUUGAGAAGAACGCCUCCGCCUCCUGGCUCUCCCACCAGUGGUAUUGCCACCACCACACACCAGCAUAAAGCACAGAUUGCUGCCCAGCUCCUUGGAGAGGGGCCAGUGCAUUUGUCAGGAAUUGAAAAGUUUUGGAGCCAGUUCGAGGACUUUCUCCUGCACAAAGUGUUGGCUGGAAGCAUGAAGCAAUAACACAUGGUUUGCCAAAGAAUCUGCAUUGAAUAAUACUGGUGGUGACCACAAGAACAUGCCUCUCUGACUGCAAGGAACAAGAGUGACCCAGGGUUUCAGCUGCUGCCUUGGAAAUUCAUCACAGUGCAAGUCUAUGCUUCCCACGGGCUGCUCCCAGCCUGUGAAUAAGCCUGGCAUCUUUGUUGAGGCAGGCCUAUUUCUGGAGAUGCAGGAUCCUCCGAUGGGCGAAUUUGGCUCUAGGACUGCUUGAUGGCCUUGACAGACUUUCCUUAGAAAUGCAUGGCAAUUUAGGGUUCCUCCACCCUUCCCUCUUUCUCUCCUUCACCUAGGGUCGGACUUGCAUCAUGGCCUGAAAGCUCCACCAGCCUCUCCUGCCCUCCUCCUCAUUUUCUUUCACAGGCAUAUCCUCUAAUAAAUUUCUUGCACAUUGAAUCUCAUCUUGGCAUCUACUUAUUGGAGGAUCUGAAAAUUCACAUUUUUAACACAAUAAUAAAAUUCACAUUUUUUCAUCAUCCACUAUAUGCCAAGUAAUGUGUUACUGUGUAGUCUCAUUAAAUCCUCUCAAAUCCAAGAGAUAAGAAUUACAUUUAUUUUACAAGAAGAAAAGCAGUCACUCUGAGAGGUAAAAUAAUGUAUAUGGCAGUAGAUUGCAGAGUUAGCAUUUGAAGAAUGUUCGGUUGUACUCCAAAGCCCACCACAAAACUCCACCACUAAACCACAGCACCUUUGGAGCAAUUGGAAUGACGAUUCUGUUCAAAUCAUAUUAAUACCAAUCACUGUAUUUGACUUUUUCGUUUAGAUGUGGCUGUGAUUGAAAAAUCAUGGUCUUUGUAUAUAGUCACCUGUUCUAUCUGCCUUUGUUUUGGGGGACUGCCACCUGAAAUUCCUGACUUUUACCCUGGGAGGGGCUUGUGCAGAGGAUCUGAGUUACUCAUCUGAACGGACUGCCUAAAGACACCUCAGUUUGUGUUGUCUGUGCAUUCACUCAGCCUCCAUAGCUAAACUAAGAUGCUGGGAAUGAGAGACUGUUCAAGGAGUAGAAGCCUUGCUUCUAGCUUCUAUAUUCC